UUCACCUACUUCCCCGACUCUGACCCUCCCUCUUAUGAGGCCCACCAGAUAACCCAGGCUGAUUUUCCCAUCUCAGGAACUUGAACUUAGUCACAUCUGCAGGUCCCUGUUGCCAUGGAAGGCAUGGUAUUCACAGGCUCUGGGGAUUAGGAUGGGGUGUCACUGGGGGACCAUUAUUCUGUCUACCAUGUGCCUCAAUAAUCGCCAGUGCAGGACGUGGCCAGCAGGUAGGGCUCAUGCAGGCGAUCUAGAACCCCCACCACUAAAGAAGCCCUCGGGAGCCCUGUCCUAGGGGACCACGUGGGGCAUAAAGGAACUGAAAGGGCCCUCAUUUUGUCUUCAAAACCUAGGAGGGAAGAGGGGAAGAGAAUGGUGGCGUCCAGAACCCAGGACCUGCAGGCCUGAUGCUCCUCCCCACUCCCGUCUUAUAGUCACCCUGCCCAGGGCCACCUCUCUGCCUUGUCCCCAUCAGCUUUAGGGCCUUCCCGACAGAUGGAAAUGGUGCCUUCCUCCCCAUCUCUUCUACUGGAGUGUGCUCCCCUAGUGCCCAGCACGAUGUGGGCACAGAACGGGUACCCAGUAAACACCGGGAACCACGUAAACGUAUACACUGUAUAUGCGUGCUUUGUAUACAUAAACGUGUUUUUAUUUCUGGUAUACAGUGUUUGGAAAAGGCUUUUUUCAUAUACACAUACAAACGUUUAUGUGCACAUUUUACAUAUGCAGACAGGUUUAUAUGCCUAAAAGCACAUUUUAUAUAGAGAACACAGGCGUUCGGUAAACGAUUGUUUCAUAAAUACACUUACAUCUAUGUAUGUACAUACGUGCAUACAAGUACAUAUAUAUGAAUGAAGGAAUUUAGAUAAAAAGCAAGACGUGGUUUAAAGGCAG